UACAGAGGGUGCGAGCGUUAAUCGGAAUUACUGGGCGUAAAGCGCACGUAGGUGGCGACGUAAGUCGGGUGUGAAAGCCCCGGGCUCAACUUGGGAAUUGCAUUCGAGACUGCAUUGCUGGAGUACGGAAGAGGAAGGCGGAAUUCCCGGUGUAGCGGUGAAAUGCGUAGAUAUCGGGAGGAACAUCAGUGGCGAAGGCGGCCUUCUGGUCCAGUACUGACACUCAAGUGCGAAAGCGUGGGGAGCAAACAGG
rnacentral:rRNA from 1 species